CUAUGACAUAUGUAUCCCAAAUCGCCAUAAGAUAAUACUUUUCUUUGUUUCACAUCAAGGAAACACUGAAAAUGAAUUUACAGAUGUUUGAAUGAUUUUUUCAAUUUUUUUUAGUUUUAAUAGUAUAAAAAUGCCAUUCUUGUUAGGAAAGAUAUUCUCUAACUUGCUUCCAAACCAUGCUUUACGACCCAUUUUACGAAGAACUAAAUGUGACGCUGCUUCUGGUAAAAAUAGAAAACUUAAAAAGUUGAAGGAAAAAUAUCAGGUUGAAGACUCCUUACCAGUGUUUCUUAAGGGAGGAGCCUUGGAUAGAACAAUUUACCUUACGACGAUAGGCCUGUCAAUCUCUGGCACUGCCCUCGUGGUGUAUCGUAGCUACUUGAUGGCUGUUUCUUCAUCAAACUGACAAGAAAAAUGUUUUACAAGGAUAUGGCACAUAAAUGAAAUUAUAAAAUCAUGCGUU